rnacentral:rRNA from 1 species
AACGAACGCUGGCGGCAGGCUUAACACAUGCAAGUCGAACGCAUCCUUCGGGAUGAGUGGCAGACGGGUGAGUAACGCGUGGGAACGUGCCCUUUAGUUUGGAAUAACCCAGGGAAACUUGGGCUAAUACCGGAUACGCCCGAAAGGGGAAAGAUUUAUCGCUGAAGGAGCGGCCCGCGUCUGAUUAGCUAGUUGGUGAGGUAAUGGCUCACCGAAGGCGACGAUCAGUAGCUGGUCUGGAGAGGAUGAUCAGCCACACUGGGACUGAGACACGGCCCAGACUCCUACGGGAGGCAGCAGUGGGGAAUAUUGGGACAAUGGGCGCAAGCCUGAUCCAGCC